GAAGCUGUACCAGCUCAGACUUCAGCCCAGGCUGCUCAUACCGUCCAAAGGCUUUGGGUGCUUCUCAGCUGAAGUCUAGUUUGAGUUUUGUUGUGAAGCACCGGAUUCAUUCAUACAUCAAAGGGAACCUAAGGCAUCAGAGCCCACAUAGACAGAAAACAAAGGCACUGUUUACAAGGCGGAAACUUGCUGAGAGAAGCAGCUGAGUUUUGCAAGGCUCACCCACUGACUGCCACCUUGGAGAGUGCCUUGGACUGCAGAAGUACAGUGGACUUCCAGUCCUCCAGUCCUUCACAAAACUUGGAGGAGCCCCUUGUCAGCGAGAAACUUUGACAGCUAUCACAGAACCCUGGCUACCUCUGUGUGUAAGUGACUUCUUGUGGUAUCACAGCAGACAUUUCUUCAAGGAGAUAUUCAGAAAAGAAAAGCACUUCACAUGUUCAUUAAACUACAGCAUUUUACUAGAAAAGC